AACAUGUAGUCAAUAUUUUGUCAUAUUAGUGUUAAUAUUUACAGAUAAGGGUUGUUUUUGAUCUGGUUGUAGGUCAUCCACUGUUUUUCUGACAUAUACCUCCAGGAGCCAUGCUGAUGAGUGGGGAGCUAAUCCCUUCUUCAGAACACAGCUCAUUUUCAAGUGGCUGCUGCUGUUUCUCCCCCACCCCUUCAGUGCGACAGCCUCAGAGCUGGUGGAAAGGCAGAGCGCAGGCAGCUGGAUAAAUUUGUAGACGUGGAAUUUCCGGAUCAAAUGGUAUGAACCAGUUUAAGAUUUGUCCUCCACCGCCUCCUUAAACACUAUCGCCUAAUUUAUUUAUCAUAUGUGGUGACAACAUUAUUUCCCAGUUGUUGUUUGCCUAUUGAUUUUGUACCAUUCAUGCAGCUUUUUUUUUUUCUCCCCAUGUUGCGGCCUUAUAGUUUUAGAUAUCCACAGCUAUCAAUUUUCUGAUUUGG
rnacentral:lncRNA from 1 species